GAUGAACGCUGGCGGCGUGCCUAAUACAUGCAAGUCGAGCGAACAGAUGAGGAGCUUGCUCCUCUGACGUUAGCGGCGGACGGGUGAGUAACACGUGGAUAACCUACCUAUAAGACUGGGAUAACUUCGGGAAACCGGAGCUAAUACCGGAUAAUAUAUUGAACCGCAUGGUUCAAUAGUGAAAGACGGUUUUGCUGUCACUUAUAGAUGGAUCCGCGCCGCAUUAGCUAGUUGGUAAGGUAACGGCUUACCAAGGCAACGAUGCGUAGCCGACCUGAGAGGGUGAUCGGCCGCACUGGAACUGAGACACGGUCCAGACUCCUACGGGAGGCAGCAGUAGGGAAUCUGCGGCAAUGGGCGAAAGCCUGACGGAGCAACGCCGCGUGAGUGAUGAAGGUCUUCGGAUCGUAAAACUCUGUUAUUAGGGAAGAACAAAUGUGUAAGUAACUAUGCACGUCUUGACGGUACCUAAUCAGAAAGCCACGGCUAACUACGUG
rnacentral:rRNA from 1 species